GUGAAAAUGAAAGUUAAUAAUUUAGUUGUUAUAUACUUGUGUUAGAUAUGUGUUGUUCUUCUGUUUAUGUAAAAUGUUUUUCAUGUGGGUUUUCAGUCAUCUAGAUUUUUCCUCCACUUGAAACUGACAGGCAUGCACAUUUUGUGUGCGUGUGGUUAUAAGUGCUGAGAUGCGUUACCUUGUUAUGUUAAUACUGAAGAAACUUUUCAAUAGUUCUGUUAAUGUUGAAGAAGUCUCUGAAUUCUUUAGAAACUGAAUUUUCACAUAGGCCCAUCUUGGGUUGGGAUAGUUUAUUGGUACAUGGGCAGUAGGUACAACUUAUUUGGCUUUAUUAUAUUCAACAAUAUUGUUUUAUCUGUUAUGUGG
rnacentral:misc_RNA from 1 species